rnacentral:lncRNA from 1 species
GGACCCAACACCUACAGGAUUGGAUCAGAGGCUACUGAAUAAGCCCUGCCCAUAGGCGGCCUUGUGACAUAUGUCUGCAUCUAUCGCCUAAGUGAUGUGACUCUUUUUCUGCCUGCAGCCUGCACAUAGAGAAGAUUGUGACAUAUAGCUCUGCCCAGUAACCAGGAGACAUGCCCAAAAAAGGGAUUGUGGCAUAUCUCUGAGCCCAGCACCCAAAUGUUGUGACUCUCCUGCCUGAGCUGUGCCUAGAGAAAAUAUUAUAAUAUGUCACCGGACCCUGCAUGCAAGUGAUCCAAUUCUCCAGUCUGGGCCUUGCCCAUAGAGGAGAUUGAGACAUAUUCCAGGUGAAGAAUUCAGGUGGAUGGUGACUCUAAGACCAGGAUUCAACACACCUAGAAGGCUUUGACUCUGAUACCAGUCACAGAAGGCUCUGUGACUCUUCUAUUUUCUCUAGGUCAUGCAAAUGGAGGCGGAUUUUGACAUAUCAUAAAGCCAACAUAAUACACAGUCUGCAGGUGGAAUUGGGACUCUCAUGCAUGGAUCCAGUUCAUCAUUGAUACUGUGACUCAUGUACUUGGAUGCAACUCACAGGAGGUGUUGACGCUUUUUACCUGAAGCUGGGACAUGUGUGGAAUUGUGAAUCCUAGCCCUAGAUCUUCCCACAGGUCAUGCAAAUGGAGGGGGAUUGUUACAUAUCAUAGGGCCAACACAAAAAUAAUGUAAAACUCCUGCCUGAGCCAUGCCCAUAGAAGGCAUUGUGACAUAUCACCCGUCACAGCACUCAGGUGGGAUUUUGACAUAUAACUGCACCCAGCACACAGGUGAAGUAUCUCGUAUGCUCAUCCUGCCAAAAGUUAUGAGUGUCACCCUCACACAUGGACAGAGACCUCUGGUUAGGUCUUGAAUCUUGUACAUGGACACAGUCCGCAGUUGGAAUGUCAUAUGUAGAUCCAGCCACAGGUGUGAUGUUGACCUAUUUAUAAAGUUAGCUCACAGGCACAUUGAUAACUCUCAUACCUGGAUCCAGCCAAUAAAAGAUAUGUUGACUAUUA